AUGCUCGCUUCAGCACAUAUACUAAAAUUGGAACAAUGCAGAGAAGAUUAGCACAGUCCCUGCACAAGGAUGACAGGCAAAUCCGUGAAGUGUUCCAUAUUUUC
ensembl:snRNA U6 U6 spliceosomal RNA